GACGAACGCUGGCGGCGUGCCUAAUACAUGCAAGUAGAACGCACAGUUUAUACCGUAGCUUGCUACACCAUAGACUGUGAGUUGCGAACGGGUGAGUAACGCGUAGGUAACCUGCCUGGUAGCGGGGGAUAACUAUUGGAAACGAUAGCUAAUACCACAUAAUAUUAAUUAUUGCAUGAUAAUUAAUUGAAAGGUGCAAUUGCACCACUACCAGAUGGACCUGCGUUGUAUUAGCUAGUAGGUGAGGUAACGGCUCACCUAGGCGACGAUACAUAGCCGACCUGAGAGGGUGAUCGGCCACACUGGGACUGAGACACGGCCCAGACUCCUACGGGAGGCAGCAGUAGGGAAUCUUCGGCAAUGGACGAAAGUCUGACCGAGCAACGCCGCGUGAGUGAAGAAGGGUUUCGGAUCGUAAAGCUCUGUUGUAAGAGAAGAACGGGUGUGAGAGUGGAAAGUUCACACUGUGACGGUAUCUUACCAGAAAGGGACGGCUAACUACGUG
rnacentral:rRNA from 1 species